rnacentral:sRNA from 1 species
UUUUUGGGAACGAAGGUAACACCAUCACGUCCUGUGACAAAGCCUUCGUGACCAACAACCUGUUGC